rnacentral:lncRNA from 1 species
CAACUCCCCGUCGGCCUCAGCCGGUGAGAGGUGUUGUUUUAUAAGGAGAAGACGUGGAAAGCCUUAUUAGGUCCUGGAGUGAGUCACUCACAGAGAUGAGUCAGGCAGCUUUUAGGUGCUGACUGGCUGUACGGAGGUGACCUUCAAAGGCCUGGUAUAAAUUACUAUGACAAUGAAUGUCAGGUCCUAAUGGCUGCAGGGGUUGGAACAAAUGUGAACUUGGGACAGAAGACGCUCACAAUGGUGGGUAAGGGCCACCAAGAAUGGAGCCUCUCAUCUAGAAAAGGCUGCAGAAAAGACCAUUAGAGGACCUUUUCUAAAGGAAAGAAUAAAACAAAUCGAGGAGGAAAGAAUAAAAAAAAGAGGUGCUGGUAUGUAUCUAAAGCCCUGGUACAUGGAGCAGAGGGUUAGACGGGGGGUUUUAUACAUUUCCAUUUUUACAAUUAAGUAAUAUAGGAAACAAAUUGCAGUAGUGAGUGCAUGCACUUCAAGACUUUUUCACAAUGUAUUGUUGCUCGAUUUGUAGUGAAGAGAUUUGUUUCUGUUACAGGCCAAAUCAUG